AGAGUUUGAUCAUGGCUCAGAACGAACGCUGGCGGCGUGGAUAAGACAUGCAAGUCGAACGAGAUUUUUUCCUGCAGCAAUACAGGGAAAAGUCUAGUGGCGAACGGGUGCGUAACACGUGGGCAAUCUGCCUUAAAGUGGGGGAUAGCUCGGCGAAAGCCGAAUUAAUACCGCAUGUGAUCAGGGGAGACAUCUUCCCGAAAUCAAAAGUGGCGCAAGCUACUGCUUUUUGAGGAGCCCGCGGCCUAUCAGCUAGUUGGCGAGGUAACGGCUCACCAAGGCUUUGACGGGUAGCUGGUCUGAGAGGACGACCAGUCACACUGGAACUGAGACACGGUCCAGACACCUACGGGUGGCAGCAGUCGAGAAUUUUUCUCAAUGGGGGAAACCCUGAAGGAGCGACGCCGCGUGGAGGAUGAAGGUCUUCGGGUUGUAAACUCCUGUCAUUUGGGAACAAGUGUCGGUACCUAACUGCUACCGGCUUGAUAGUACCAGAAGAGGAAGGGACGGCUAACUCUGUGCCAGCAGCCGCGGUAAUACAGAGGUCUCAAGCGUUGUUCGGAUUCAUUGGGCGUAAAGGGUGUGUAGGUGGCGCCGUAAGUCGGGUGUGAAAUUUCGGAGCUUAACUCCGAAACUGCAUUCGAUACUGCGGUGCUUGAGGACUGGAGAGGAGACUGGAAUUCAUGGUGUAGCAGUGAAAUGCGUAGAGAUCAUGAGGAAGACCAGUGGCGAAGGCGGGUCUCUGGACAGUUCCUGACACUGAGACACGAAGGCCAGGGGAGCAAACGGGAUUAGAUACCCCAGUAGUCC
rnacentral:rRNA from 1 species